rnacentral:rRNA from 1 species
UGGGGAAUAUUGCACAAUGGGCGCAAGCUGAUGCAGCCAUGCCGCGUGUGUGAAGAAGGCCUUCGGGUUGUAAAGCACUUUCAGCGAGGAGGAAGGUGGUGAGCUUAAUACGCUCAUCAAUUGACGUUACUCGCAGAAGAAGCACCGGCUAACUCCGUGCCAGCAGCCGCGGUAAUACGGAGGGUGCAAGCGUUAAUCGGAAUUACUGGGCGUAAAGCGCACGCAGGCGGUUUGUUAAGUCAGAUGUGAAAUCCCCGGGCUCAACCUGGGAACUGCAUUUGAAACUGGCAAGCUAGAGUCUCGUAGAGGGGGGUAGAAUUCCAGGUGUAGCGGUGAAAUGCGUAGAGAUCUGGAGGAAUACCGGUGGCGAAGGCGGCCCCCUGGACGAAGACUGACGCUCAGGUGCGAAAGCGUGGGGCAGCAAACAGGAUUAGAUACCCUGGUAGUCCA